rnacentral:rRNA from 1 species
GUGGGGAAUAUUGCACAAUGGGGGAAACCCUGAUGCAGCGACGCCGCGUGAGUGAAGAAGUAUUUCGGUAUGUAAAGCUCUAUCAGCAGGGAAGAAAAGAUGACGGUACCUGACUAAGAAGCCCCGGCUAACUACGUGCCAGCAGCCGCGGUAAUACGUAGGGGGCAAGCGUUAUCCGGAUUUACUGGGUGUAAAGGGAGCGUAGACGGUGAAGCAAGUCUGGAGUGAAAGGCCGGGGCUCAACCCCGGGACUGCUUUGGAAACUGUUUAACUGGAGUACAGGAGAGGUAAGUGGAAUUCCUAGUGUAGCGGUGAAAUGCGUAGAUAUUAGGAGGAACACCAGUGGCGAAGGCGGCUUACUGGACUGUAACUGACGUUGAGGCUCGAAAGCGUGGGGAGCAAACAGG